CCUUGGUUUUGCAAUUUUUUUCAAUGUUAAAAUUUUUUGACUAAAUUAUAUAUAUCCCGGGGUUAACAAGGGUGGAUGUUAUUUACACCGUGGUUAUCAACCAAUCAGAUUGCAGUAUGUUUGCUGCAUAAAAAAAAUAAACAUACAUAUUUGAGUUGAAAACUUAAAUACAAAGGUAAAAUUGAUUAAAAUGUAAUAAUGAUAAUCGGUUUGAAAAAUAGUUGUUACAAAUUCAAAAAUUUCAAAAUAAAUCUGACUCCAAUCAUUU
rnacentral:lncRNA from 1 species